AAAAUCGUUAAUAGGCGUGCAGAUUUUUGCUUGAAUGAAUCUAUUUAAAGCACAUCGGCAGUAUCGUUGAUCUGUAUUGUAUCUGGAAAAAGCAUAAAAUCGUUAAUAGGCGUGCAGUGUUUUGAAACUAUUUAAUGUACAUCUGCAGUAUCACAAGUCUGUAUUGAAUUAUAAUGAACAAAAUUAACGUGUCCUUCGUUUUGGUAUUCCUAGUCGGUUUAUUAGCGCUGUCAACUUAUCAACAUUCAAUGAUAUUUAAACCAUUCGAGCCUGUGCCUUUCUGUUUUAAUGAGGAUAACGUUCCAGUUCCAGUUCCAGAUAAAAACUUAAAAAAAGAUUCCAAUAUCAAGUGCUUCCCAAGUGCUUUCUCUACAAUAUAUAAAAAAAAAACAGAUAAAACCAUA